UAAAUCUGUUCUUAUCAGCUUGAUAUCUGAUACGGUCUCCAUCGGAGACCUUCGAUAUUAACCUGAUUUUUGGAACGGGGCGGGAAAGGGGGCUUGCUCCCUCCCCGCCGCGGGUUGCUCUGGCCUGGCACUUAUUGCCAGAGAUAGCCCACCCCCCUUUGGGGGGAAAUAAAUAAUAAAAGAUAGAGAAAUUAAUUAUUGAAGAAAAAAAUUUUUUUUCUUUUUCCAGUUGGUUGUCAUUCACGGAAGAUGCCAGAGGAGCGAUUACAGUAAUUGCAAGACAUUCUCCAAGCGAGGAUUAGCAGGAAAAAGAAAUGUGGCGAAUUGCAGAAGAAAAGAGUGUGACUACUGUGGACAACACGCACGGCCUGCACGUAGAAGACCCAGGCACCCCAGGAAAGUUGGUUGUCAUUCACGGAAGAUGCCAGAGGAGCGAUUACAGUAAUUGCAAGACAUUCUCCAAGCAAGGAUUAGCAGGAAAAAGAAAUGUGGCGAAUUGCAGAAGAAAAGGUAAGAGAAAAUGCGGAUGGCGAUAAACCGCCAUCGCCGCAUACUUCCGGUACGCUACGAUGAAUCUGAGCGAUGCGAGAAAGACGUUCCCGUGCUUUUGGUCGUUAUCGCUAAUCGGCGAUUCGAAGUUAUUGAAGAAAAAUGAAAUGUGCAAUUUUUUCAGAGUGUGACUACUGUGGACAAC